UACGAAUGGGGCUAGCGUUGCUCGGAAUUACUGGGCGUAAAGCGCACGUAGGCGGUUUCUUAAGUCGGGGGUGAAAUCCUGGAGCUCAACUCCAGAACUGCCUUCGAUACUGGGAAACUUGAGUCCGGGAGAGGUGAGUGGAACUGCGAGUGUAGAGGUGAAAUUCGUAGAUAUUCGCAAGAACACCAGUGGCGAAGGCGGCUCACUGGCGCGGUACUGACGCUGAGGUGCGAAAGCGUGGGGAGCAAACAGG
rnacentral:rRNA from 1 species